CAGACUUGAGGAUGUUGAUUUUUGAUGUGCACUGGAGUCAAAUGCUCAGAAGUGUUGUGAGGCUUGUGCCUCUGCAGAGAAAUCCUGCAAACUCAUGAAUGUGUGAUACGCCUCUUCUGAGGCGCAUCAUGUGUGGGCAAGCAUUUAUCUUCAUGGGGGUGGCAGCUGAGGAGGACAUGACCAGCCACAAAAGUCAUUUUUGUUGUUUGGUAAAACAAUUGGACACACCUCAUCUGGUGAUGCUGUCUGCUCAGAGCAGGGCAGGGAUGAAUGCUCUAUGGUCCCAGCACCGGGCAGCAGCUGAGCCUGCAGAGGUGCAGGUUUUGGAGGCUGUGGUUGUGCCUGAUCCUUCCAGAGCAGAGGUGUUAGAGGAAGAGGAGGGUGUGGAGAAGAAUAUGAGGAUUUUGAGAGUGGUGAGCUCCAGAGGCUCUGUGGUGGAGAGGU
rnacentral:sRNA from 1 species